rnacentral:tRNA from 1 species
GCGGGUGUAGCUCAGUGGUAGAGCGCAUGCUUAGCAUGCAGGAGGUCCUGGGUUCAAUCCCCACUACCUCCA